rnacentral:rRNA from 1 species
UCUGGGAUUAGAUACCCUGUUAUUUAAAUUGUAUUUAUAUAAAAUAGAAUAGUAUUAGAAAUAUUUUCUUGAAAUUUAAUAAAUUUGGCGGUAUUUUAUUCUAUUCAGAGGAACUUGUUUUAUAAUUGAUAGUCCUCAUUUAAUCUUACUUAAUUUUAUUAAGAUUUGUAUAUCGUCGUCAUAAGAAUUUCUUUAAAAAGUAAAAAUUUUCUAAAAUUUUUAUUGUAAAUAAUGUCAGAUAAAGGUGCAGUUUAUAGUUAAGAAAAAAUUAGUUACAAUAAUUUUAGUUAUGGUGGAUAUUAUAAUUAAAUUUAUAGUUAAAAUUGGAUUUGUUAGUAAAUUAAAUUAUAAAAUUUAGUUGAUUUUAGUUUUAAAAUAUGUACAAAUCGCCCGUCA